ACUACAAAAUGGGGAAAAAAUGGCGCCCAAUUUAUAGCGGUUAUAUGAUCAAAGCGCUAUAAAAAUUAAUACGGAGCCCUUAGAUAGCGCUUAUUGAAAAAGUCGCUAUCUGAGGUUUCAAUUUUCAUAGCUCUUUUAUUUGAAAGCGCUUUCAUAGUAUUAAUAAAAAAAAGUUAAAAAUGUAAAAAAAGUGCAUUGAUAAACUUAUAUAGCGCGUGAUUCUAAAAGCGCUAUUUAUCAUUAAAUAGCGUUUGCGAAAGCGCUAUCUUAGAUAAGACAUUUAAUAGCGUUUAUGUAUUAGAAAAAGCGCUAUGUGUACAUAAAAGUUAUUAGCGUUUAUAUAUUAGAAAAAGCGCUAUGUAUCUAUAAAAUUUAAUUGGCCGAGUG
rnacentral:lncRNA from 1 species